rnacentral:rRNA from 1 species
UACGAAGGGUGCAAACGUUGCUCGGAAUUAUUGGGCGUAAAGCGUGCGUAGGCGGUUUGUUAAGUCCGCUGUGAAAGCCCUGGGCUCAACCUGGGAAUUGCAGUGGAUACUGGCAAGCUAGAGUGCGGUAGAGGAUGGUGGAAUUCCCGGUGUAGCGGUGAAAUGUGUUGAUAUCGGAAGGAACGCCGGUGGCGAAAGCGACACACUGGAUCUUGUCUGACGCUGAGGCACGAAAGCCAGGGGAGCGAACGGG